rnacentral:rRNA from 1 species
CCUACGGGUGGCAGCAGUGAGGAAUAUUGGUCAAUGGCCGGAAGGCUGAACCAGCCAUGCCGCGUGAAGGUCAGUGCCCUAUGGGCGUUAAACUUCUUUUGUGCGGGAGCAAUAAUGGUCACGUGUGGCCAGACGAGAGUACCGUACGAAUAAGCAUCGGCUGACUCCGUUCCAGCAGCCGCGGUAAUACGGGGGAUGCAAGCGUUAUCCGGAUUUAUUGGGUUUAAAGGGUGCGUAGGCUGUGAGGUAAGUCAGCGGUGAAAUGCCCCCGCUCAACGGGGUGAAGUGCCAUUGAUACUGCCUGGCUGGAAUGCGGAUGCCGUGGGAGGAAUGUGUGGUGUAGCGGUGAAAUGCAUAGAUAUCACACAGAACACCGAUUGCGAAGGCAUCUCACGAAGCCGCGAUUGACGCUGAUGCACGAAAGCGUGGGUAUCAAACAGGAUUAGAUACCCCAGUAGUC